UUAAUGAUGAACUGUGAUUGCUCCAAUGUUCCAUGUGGAAGUCAAACAUAGUCCUCUAAGAAGUUCUGAAAUG